rnacentral:misc_RNA from 1 species
GGGCGUGGGGAGGGCAGA